AAUGAACGUUGGCGGCGUGGAUUAGGCAUGCAAGUCGUACGCUUUAUGUAGCAAUACAUGAAGAGUGGCGUAAGGGAGAGUAAUGCAUGGUUAGCUACCCUCGGGACUGGGAUAGCGGCGGGAAACUGCCGGUAAUACCAGAUGACAUCUUCGGAUCAAACGUGUAAAUCGGCCCGAGGAGGCGACCAUGUCCUAUCAGCUAGUUGGCGGUGUAACGGACCACCAAGGCAAGACGGGUAUGGGGCGU
rnacentral:rRNA from 1 species